rnacentral:rRNA from 1 species
GACGAACCGUGCGAACGUUAUUCGGAAUCACUGGGCUUAAAGCGCGUGUAGGCGGGUCGCCGCGUCGGCUGCUGAAAUCCCCCGGCUCAACCGGGGAACGGGCACCGAUACGGGCGGCCUCGAGGGGGGUAGGGGGACCUGGAACUUCCGGUGGAGCGGUGAAAUGCGUUGAGAUCGGAAGGAACGCCCGUGGCGAAAGCGGCUCACUGGACCAUUACUGACGCUGAGGCACGAAAGCUAGGGGAGCAAACAGG